rnacentral:piRNA from 1 species
UGAUGCCUUAACCUAAUCACCGUACC